rnacentral:rRNA from 1 species
GACGAACGCUGGCGGCGUGCUUAACACAUGCAAGUCGAGCGGAGCGGCGAACGGGUGAGUAACGCGUGAGUAACUGCCCCCCUCUCUGGGCGAACAGUUGGAAACGGCUGCUAAACCCGGAUAGUGGGGGAUGACUCGCGUCCUAUCAGCUUGUUGGGGGGGUAGUGGCCUACCACGGCGAAGACGGGUAGCCGGCCUGAGAGGGCGACCGGCCACAGUGGGCUGGGAUACGGCCCAAGCGCCUACGGGAGGCAGCAGUGAGGAAUAUUGCACCAUGGGGGAAACCCUGAUGCAGCACCGCCGCGUGCGGGAUGACGGCCUUCGGGUUGUAAACCGCUUUCAGCCAUGACGCGGUAGUGGCAGAAGAAGCACCGGCUAACUACGUGCCAGCAGCCGCGGUAAUUC